rnacentral:rRNA from 1 species
CCUACGGGAGGCAGCAGUGAGGAAUAUUGGUCAAUGGGCGCGAGCCUGAACCAGCCAAGUAGCGUGAAGGAUGACUGCCCUACGGGUUGUAAACUUCUUUUAUAAAGGAAUAAAGUGAGGCCCGUGUGCCUUUUUGUAUGUACUUUAUGAAUAAGGAUCGGCUAACUCCGUGCCAGCAGCCGCGGUAAUACGGAGGAUCCGAGCGUUAUCCGGAUUUAUUGGGUUUAAAGGGAGCGUAGAUGGGUUGUUAAGUCAGUUGUGAAAGUUUGCGGCUCAACCGUAAAAUUGCCAUUGAUACGGGAAGUCUUGAGUACAGUUGAGGUAGGCGGAAUGCGUGGUGUAGCGGUGAAAUGCUUAGAUAUCACGAAGAACUCCGAUUGCGAAGGCAGCUUACUAAACUGCAACUGACAUUGAUGCUCGAAAGUGUGGGUAUCAAACAGGAUUAGAUACCCCUGUAGUC